rnacentral:rRNA from 1 species
GAUUAAUGGGGUCGGGUUGCUGAAAAUAAUUGUUCUUUGCCUUAUCCCAAUGUACCACUGGUCCGCUGCUGCCGCUCACAGCCACUCAUUCCACCGAGAGGGAGGAUUCUGACCAGGUAAAAUCCGCCGUUCAGGCCGUGGCCGGCGGCAAGACCGGAGCUGUAUAGCGCCGUCCAUCUCCGACGCUCUUCUCCGCCCGGAGCUGCCACGGUAGCCACACCCGUCUCCGGCGCUCUGCUCGCUCGCGUCAGGCGCGCUGCGCCACGCCCGGACGUGGCCUUGGCUGCUGGCGGCAAGACGGUGGCCGUCGCAGCUAGUGCUGCCCACCUCCAGCGCACCCAACGGCAGGCCAAGGUUCUGGCUGAACUUUGAUUCUAAGUAAGAUUGAGCUGAUGUCUCUUUACUAAAUCAACUCAUGAUGCUGAUGUAUAAUUGCUCUCCCUCUUUAUUUGUCAGCAACUAGAGCUCAAAAAGCUGCUAUUGUGCUUCAUUUGAUAGCAAGUGGAGCUAAAAAAUUCUGCUACUGUGCUUUAUUUAACAGCAAGUUGAGCUAAAGAAUUCUGUUAUUGUGCUUCAGUUGACAGCAAGUGGAGCUAAAAAAAUUCUGCUAUUGUGCUUCAUUUAACAGCAAGUAGAGCUAAAAAGUUAUGCUAUUGUGCUUCAUUUAACAGCAAGUAGAGCUCAAAAAUUCUGCUAUUAUGCUUCAUUUAACAGCAAGUAGAGCACAAUAAUUCUUCUAUUAUGCUUUAUGUAACAGCAAGAACAUUUGCA